UAAAACAGUAGUUUAUGAUUGUAUACUACUACAAAAACCAUAUUACUUGACGCUUGAAACUUUUGAGUAUUUGAUAUUUUUAUAGAAAAAAAAAUGUCAAGUAACAUAUAAAUUUGAUGAAAAACGUUAAGAAUAAUGAAAAACGCAGAGAUUGACAGAAAUUUCUGAAUUUUUUUAUCCCAUUUUUACUCAACGCAUUAUAAACGUCAAGUAAGUUAUGGUUUAUUAAUCUAUGUCUUUUCCCUCUCAAACAAAACAAAGCUCCGGAAAUCGUGAAACCUCUUCAGUUUUUUCCCAAACAUCACACGUGAAACCCUCCACUCAAGCAUCUCCUACGCGAAAUCAUGAAUCUAGGGUUUGCCUUCACGACGCCUAUGCUUUCAUGUUGUUGCUGCCUUGUACGUUUUACCACGCUCUUCAGACUCUCUUUUCAUUCUUCACGCUGCCGCUGCUUCCGCUGUGUUCGAAGACUUCUUUUUAAGUCUUCUAAGCACUAUGAUUUUUUUCUUUGUCUCAAUGGUGAGAAAAUGAUGGAAAAUUAAGUUCUCUUGCUUACGAAGUUCAUCAUCAUAAACAAAACACCUCAAAGUGUAGAAGCGAGAAGGGCCAGAGAGGAGGGAGGUGGAGGUGGGUUUCGUUUCCAUAGCCUUUACUGGUUAUGGAGCGGGUAAGAUUCGACAGAGGAAAUAAAUGGAUAGAGAGAGAAAGAGAGAAAGAGAGAAAGAUGGGUUGUGGUGGGAUGGAAGAUAUGGUGUAAAGUUGCAGAAUCAGAAUGGAAAACCCAUUAUUUUAGUUGAAAUUUGGACUCCUCCAUUAUUCAAAUUUUGAUAUAACUAGAAAUUCCACGGCGGAAGGAGAUCAAAUAACAUAUCGUUUUUGCCUAAAGAUCAAAUGCCAUAACAUAUUAUUUUUUGCCAUAACUAAUUUCGCAGAAAUUAGUGUCGAAGAGACAAGAGAACUUGGCCAAAUUGGUUUUGUAAUGCCCUAGUCUACAAGAUGUGGACCUCAAGGACAUUUAUAACUAUUUUUUUUUUUCAAACUAAGGACUCAUGUUUGUAUGGUGAGUUUUAGGCAAAAAAAAGCUUGGUUUAGGCCUUUUCAAUUUCUUUGUUUGGGACCUUUAAGGUUGUUUUAGAAGCACUUGGUGACUCUGAUCAACUUCGAAAUUAGAAGUUUGAUACUUCUUCCAUUCUA